rnacentral:rRNA from 1 species
ACGAACGCUGGCGGCGUGCCUCAAACAUGCAAGUCGAGCGGACGGAGACCGAACCGCAAGGGGAGGUUGAAGUUAGCGGCGAACGGGUGAGUAACACGUGGGUAACCUACCCUAAAGUCUGGGACAAACGGCCCGAAAGGGCCGCUAAUACCGGAUAAUGUCUUCGGGUCGCAUGGCCUGGGGAAGAAAGCCGAAAAGGCGCUUAUGGAUGGGCUCGCGUCCCAUCAGCUAGUUGGUAAGGUAACGGCUUACCAAGGCGACGACGGGUAGCCGGUCUGAGAGGAUGGUCGGCCACACUGGGACUGAGAUACGGCCCAGACUCCUACGGGAGGCAGCAGUUGGGAAUAUUGGGCAAUGGGCGAAAGCCUGACCCAGCGACGCCGCGUGAGGGAAGAAGGCCUUCGGGUCGUAAACCUCUGUCAUCGGGGACGAAGAAAGUGACGGUACCCGAGGAGGAAGCCCCUGCUAACUACGUG